rnacentral:rRNA from 1 species
UACGGAGGGUGCAAGCGUUAUCCGGAUUUACUGGGUUUAAAGGGUGCGUAGGUGGGUAGGUAAGUCAGUGGUGAAAUCUCCGAGCUUAACUCGGAAACUGCCUUUGAUACUAUCUAUCUUGAAUAUCCUGGAGGUGAGCGGAAUAUGUCAUGUAGCGGUGAAAUGCUUAGAUAUGACAUAGAACACCAAUUGCGAAGGCAGCUCACUACGGGGUCAUUGACACUGAGGCACGAAAGCGUGGGGAUCAAACAGG